rnacentral:rRNA from 1 species
ACGCUGGCGGCGUGCCUAAUACAUGCAAGUCGAGCGAACGGACGAGACGCUUGCUUCUCUGAUGUUAGCGGCGGACGGGUGAGUAACACGUGGAUAACCUACCUAUAAGACUGGGAUAACUUCGGGAAACCGGAGCUAAUACCGGAUAAUAUUUUGAACCGCAUGGUUCAAAAGUGAAAGACGGUCUUGCUGUCACUUAUAGAUGGAUCCGCGCUGCAUUAGCUAGUUGGUAAGGUAACGGCUUACCAAGGCAACGAUGCAUAGCCGACCUGAGAGGGUGAUCGGCCACACUGGAACUGAGACACGGUCCAGACUCCUACGGGAGGCAGCAGUAGGGAAUCUUCCGCAAUGGGCGAAAGCCUGACGGAGCAACGCCGCGUGAGUGAUGAAGGUCUUCGGAUCGUAAAACUCUGUUAUUAGGGAAGAACAUAUGUGUAAGUAACUGUGCACAUCUUGACGGUACCUAAUCAGAAAGCCACGGCUAACUACGUG